rnacentral:rRNA from 1 species
AGCGAACGCUGGCGGCAGGCCUAACACAUGCAAGUCGAACGGAUCCUUCGGGAUUAGUGGCGGACGGGUGAGUAACACGUGGGAACGUGCCCUUUGGUUCGGAACAACUCAGGGAAACUUGAGCUAAUACCGGAUGUGCCCUUCGGGGGAAAGAUUUAUCGCCAUUGGAGCGGCCCGCGCCUGAUUAGCUAGUUGGUGAGGUAACGGCCCACCAAGGCGACGAUCAGUAGCUGGUCUGAGAGGAUGAUCAGCCACACUGGGACUGAGACACGGCCCAGACUCCUACGGGAGGCAGCAGUGGGGAAUCUUGCGCAAUGGGCGAAAGCCUGACGCAGCCAUGCCGCGUGAAUGAUGAAGGUCUUAGGAUUGUAAAAUUCUUUCAGCGGGGACGAUAAUGACGGUACCCGCAGAAGAAGCUCCGGCUAACUUCGUG